CUGGUUCCCUCGGCUCCCCUCACUGUACUGCCCGGAGCUCCCAGCUCAGCCUCUGCUCCGAAGAAAACUGUCCAGCCAAGAAACGUGAUGAAUUCACUGAAGAAGCACGUCUCAUCAUCCCAUCAUUUGACGCUCAGAUUCUUCAGUUUCAGAAACAGAAGCUUCAGCUUCAGUGAGGGAGUUACUGCUUAUUCUGCGGGGUGCAGAGAGGCGGAUUCUUUACCACUCGCGCCACCUGGGAGGCCCCAAAGAUGGGAAAUUGACUUCAAUUUGCUACCUUCCACUCACAGUGCAAGAAAGUAGAGUUGCUUUUCAGCUGUUGACACAGAAGAGAAAGACAGAAGAAGAAGGAGGUGUGAGACUGCAAAGUCUGCCAAGAAAGCAGAGACUUAGGGGAAUUCAAGCCAAGCUCUGUGCUUGUUGUAGAAGCUAUUGGGCCAUUCACAGUCAUGACGCCAGCUUUUGUAUUUGCUUGCUGGGUGAAUCAGGACACAAUGGUGAUGAAGAGAUGUCAGAUGUGCUAUUGGAAUAAAG